rnacentral:rRNA from 1 species
GAUGAACGCUGGCGGCGUGCCUAACACAUGCAAGUCGAACGGACAGGCCCUGAUUUUGCGGGGCGCUCGAGUGGCGAGCGCGUGUGUAACACGUGAGUAACAUGCCCUUGACUUUCGGGUAACUUCAGGAAACUGGGGCUCAUACCGCAUAGGAGCUCCUGCUGCGUGGUGUGGGUUGGAAAGUUUCGGCGGUUGGGGCUGGACUCGCGGCUUCUCCGCUUGUUGGUGGGGUAGUGGCUUACCAAGGCUGUGACGGGUAGCCGGCCUGAGAGGGUGACCGGCCACCUGGGGCCUGCGAGACGGCCCAGACGCCUACGGGAGGCAGCAGUGGGGAAUAUGGCACAAUGGGCGGAAGCCUGAUGCAGCAACGCCGCGUGCGGGAUGACGGCCUUCGGGUUGUAAACCGCUUUCGCCUGUGACGAAGCGUGAUUGACGGUAAUGGGUAAAGAAGCACCGGCUAACUACGUG